rnacentral:rRNA from 1 species
GCCAGCCCGCUCAGAAACUUAAAGGAAGUUGACGGGGCCGCACAAGCGGUGGAGCAUGUGGUUUAAUUCGUAUGAUACGCGAGGAACCGUUACCUGGGCUCAAAUGUAUGUUGACGUAUUCUGAAAGGGAUACUUCUUCGGACAAUAUACAAGGUGCUGCAUGGUUGUCGUCAGCUCGUGCCGUGAGGUGUCGGGUUAAGUCCCAUAACGAGCGCAACCCCUAUCAUUAGUUGCCAUCAGGUCAAGCUGGGGACUCUAAUGAAACUGCCUACGCAAGUAGUGAGGAAGGUGGGGAUGACGUCAAAUCAGCACGGCCCUUACGUCCAGGGCUACACACGUGCUACAAUGGCCGGUACAAAGGGCAGCUACCUGGUGACAGGAUGCUAAUCUCAAAAGCCGGUCUCAGUUCGGAUCGGAGUCUGCAACCCGACUCCGUGAAGCUGGAAUCGCUAGUAAUCGUGGAUCAGCAUGCCACGGUGAAUACGUUCCCGGGCCUU